UGAACAGGACAGCAUGGUUUCACGGAAGAGUGGGGAGAUUAGCUGCAUUUGCACUUAUCAUUCUGUACUUGGAAUCACUGUUAUUUUCUGAUAGGGUUUAGAAAAGAAAUACUCUGAUAUUGAUUUCUUGUUUCUGGCCUCCAGAAAAAAACAUCACACACAAAGUCUGACUUAUAUCUGGACUGCAAUCAACACUGCAAGACAGACAAUUUAAGAAUGGUCCUGGCCCCCAGCCUACUGCCUCUUCACAUCCUCUCUUGCUGGUGAUGGAGGAACUUCCAAGAGCAGCAGAGAUGAUUUGCCCUGGAGUGGAGUCAGAUUAACAGGAACAUCUGUCUCAGUCAUUCACAAAAGAGAACUGCACAGUAUCUGUUUGAACGUUACCAGUUCUUCCAAGAGCGAGCAGUCACAACUGUAUCAACAUAAUCAAUAUGCCUAAAGAAAUUAAAAUACACUCUUCUGUGGUAAGGAUGGUGCAAGUCUGUGGACAAAAUUCUUCAUAGGGGACCUCUAAGCUACUUCUGAAAGAGCUGGGAUCCUUCACAAUAAAGCCUCCUGAAGAAAUGCA
rnacentral:lncRNA from 1 species